CAGAGGCACCAACUAGCCUUGAAGCAGGGAGCGGGUGUCAGGGGGCCGGAACCUGUGAGUGGGAGCUGGGACAGCUGCCCACAGCCCUUCCUGGUGCUCCCCUGCAGGUCACAGACCAUCCUCUGUCUGGGCCUCCCCCCAAAGCCAACAGCAUGCGGAAAACACGCCCACGGCCCACGCACAGCCUGACUCCAAAUUCCUGGGCAUUGGAGCAGAGAGCCCCAGAUAGCCUGCCCCAGAGCCUUGUCCCCAUCUGACAGAAACACAUCACAGUCCCCGCUGGUUCGCAGAUCUUAGUCCACUUUCCUCAUAACAAACAUCUCAGAUCCCUUCCUGUGAAGAACUUUCUCUUGCUUCUUAACGGCUGCCUAAUACUUCAUCCUGCAGCUGGACUGUUGACCCAUUAAAGCACGUUCCUUAUUCCCAGGUUUUUGCUACUCUAAAUAGUGCAGCCAGUGUCAUUUUGUAAUGGGUGAAUAUACUCACAACCUUUCUGAAAGAAAUUAUAAUUAAUA